GAGUAAUGUUCUCAAGAGAGGCUGGAAGUUUGGGAUAUGAGUGGCUGAGUGGAAGUGUUGGAAUUCCUGCAGUGGAGGUAUCUCCUUGGAAACUGAGAUGGAAAAGAGUAAGGAAUGUGGAGCUCUUAACAACAGGCAAUGACAUCUGUGAAGAGCAGAUAUGAGGGCAGUAUGGAGAACAAAGCAGGCCAGGCAGGUGCCCUUGGCUUUCAGUUGCUGUUUCUUACCAGACAAAGAAAAGAUCUCUCACUCCACAAAUGCUGGUUUUGAAGAGUCUCCUGGAAGAAGAGCAUUAUCUGAAGGUCCAGAUUGUCAGCUGGUUCUCCCCCCGCAACAUUUCAGAGGUCGGGACUCGGAGUACUGUGUCCUAGUCACAAAGAGAGGCAGAGACGCAGAGGGGACUGUCGGCUGGUGCAGGCGGAACCAAAAGAUAUUUAAUCAGCAAUUAGAAGCACCUGAGGGUGAGGGAAAUUCUACUCCAGCCUUGAGCUUCAUCGCUCAGCCCACAGCAUUCCCAAAGCAACGGAAGUCUCUUCAAUGACAAAAGAGGGGUGCAAGUCUUUGCAAAGUCGUCACAGUGGCAGUCAAAGGAGGAACUUACUGUGCGUCUGAUCGCCAGCGAGCUGUUUGCUUUAAAUUAGCUGAAAUGCAAAAUAGUUUGAACAAUGAUGCAUUUUUGGAAUAUUUUUGCUAAAAGGAACAUGAAGAGAAGCUCUAGUUAUGAAGACUUAAUAAUUAUUCAGAAACUGUUUUUUUAUUAAUAGCUUUUAGCAUAACAUUUUUGUCAAAACACUGGAAACUGAAGAGUUUUUCAUUUUUCCUAUUUUGGCUUCAGAGGUUUGGCUUAUCUUUUACAGAAUUUGUUGUUUAUAAUUAUUUUUAAG
ensembl:lncRNA